AUGUGUGUCUUUUGCAGCAAACGAGCUGAUUAUCUUGCCACCAAGAAGCAAGGUGGAAUUAUAAUUGCAGGUCCUGGCAAAACUAACAUCUCAUUCAUUCACAAGGUAAUUAAGUUCCUCAACACAGCGUGUCCCCUUUCUCUUUUGUCCUCAUGCCAGAACAUGGUUAAUCAUCAAUAUGACCAUUGUUAUAUAUUUGUUAUUAAUCAACAGUUUCCUUUUUUUCCUAACGCAUAGACUAAUUAACGUGUAUAUUUUUACACUUUUAUUAACCUUAUCUAAAUAUAUUUUCUUAUGCAA